CGCCAGAGGUAAUGAAGCGGUCCCUGCCUUUUAACUAACCCAUUAGACGGAUGAAGCAAUUGAGUUCAGUGUUUUACACUUGGAAUCCAGCUGGCAUCCAGCUCUCAUCCCUUGGCAUUCUAGCAAGAGGCAGAUUCACCACGGCAGCCACUCGCAAAGGUGCAGAAUAAAUUGAAUUAAUAUUGUCUGGGAGUCUGGGAUGCUGUAACCAGCAGAGGCCCACAAGUGAGGUUUGUGCUGGGGGGAGCAUGAAUCACUGCGCGGCAACAGGAAUGUUCUCAUGAUUUUUUAAUGGCCCCCAGAAAAUGAAUGUGCACGAUUAAGAGAUGAAGGAAAGCUGACUUUGUCCCACGAAGUUGGUCAGUACAACACUGAAUCCACCAGAUGUGCCAGUCUCACACUUCAGUAAACAGGACUGCUAUAUUGCAUAUUAAUUUUAUUAAAGAAGUUAGUAAAGAAAACAUGGUUGAACUCAUGCUGUACAAUUUUGCCUCUUGCUUCU